CGCCCACCAAAUCUGGCGCCACAUGUUCCCACCAAAGAAAGAAAAAUACAUUACAUUUACAAAAUCCUUCCUCUCCUUCUCUCCUACAUCGAAGUAAUCGAUUUUAUACACACAACACAACAAACAACAACAACAAUCUACCCUCUUUCUAUCGCUUCAAAGCCCCCUUCAUUUCGAUUUGGAUUUGGAUUUCUUUCAUCUAUCCUCACUUAUCCCUUUUCCAUCCCAAUAAUCUGUUCUUUUUUUUAGUGAAUCAGUUUUUCAUUUUCUACUUAUUUUUUUGGGUCUUAUAGCUGCCAUUUUUGGGCCAAUCCAGAGUAGGUGGGUGAAGUCUGUUUAGGCGAUUGUUUUGGGUGGACGCUAUGGCCUUGAAUCGAGGGGAAGGAUGCUCAGCUGGGUUUGGGUUCUAUGCUUGGUGUUUAGGGGAGAGAUGCUUAACUGAUAGGGUGGAUGGAUUUGGUGAUUUUUCGGGUUUGAAUUGGGAAAAAGAGGAGCUUUAUGAUUGUAAAGGUGGAAAAUUCAGUAAGGGAUCUGAUGAAAUUGCUGAUUUGUUGCCUCCGGAUCCAUUUAAUAUGGAAAGUAGUAAAGAGGACACAGGUUGGUUAGAGGAUGUUGGGUUUAAGGCUGACGAUAAUGAGGUUGUGAAACUUGAUUCCAUGUUGAAUGGCAAAAUGAGAGUUCAUGAGGGUGCACGUCUCCAGUUGAUAGAUGGAAAUUGUGGGCUGUUUGGGAUGAAUUUCAGAGAGGAGUUGGACAGUGGCCAUGGUCUGAUAGAUGGUAAGAAGGAGAUCAUGGAUUUUAGUUAUGAGAAGUAUUGGAAUCUUGGUGAAACAACAGAUGAUAUGGAUGGAGGUAAUCCAUCUGAUGCGUUGUUGUUGGCCCUCAGUUAUUUAGGCUUGAGGGACCUUCUUGCAGUUGAAGAAGUAUGCAAGUCCUUACGUGAUGCUGUUAUAGGAGAUCCACUUUUAUGGAGAAGUAUUCACAUAGAUUAUCCAUUUUGUACUAAGAUCACAAAUGAUAUUCUUAUAAAGUUGACGAAUAGGGCUCAAGGCCAUCUUCAUUCUCUCAGUCUCAUUCACUGCUCAAAGAUCACCGAUGCUGGUUUGAAGCAUGUACUUGAUAGGAAUCCCAGCUUGUCAAAGUUAAAUGUCCCAGGAUGUGCGAGUCUCACUGCAGAUGGUAUGCUCUCCAACUUAAAAGUCUUGAAGAUGGCUGGAAAAACAAGACUUAAAUAUUUAGGGAUUUAUGGAUUGUUUGGCAUGACAAACCUGCACAUCGAAGAGUUCAAGUUCUUAAUAGGUGUAGAUAGCGUGCUGCCAACUACUCGUAAGCCACGGUUUUUUGGUAGUGAACAUUUGCGUUUCACUUCUGAUGAUGACCGUGCUAUGGACGUUGAAGUUUGCCCGAUAUGCCAGCGACUUGAGCUAGUUUAUGAUUGCCCUUCAGAGAGUUGCCAAAAGAAGCAAUCUGCCUCUCAGUUGUGCAGGGCUUGUACUAAAUGCAUUGCGCGUUGUAUCGAUUGUGGAUGUUGCUUAAUUAAUUGUGAUUAUGUGGAGUUGCUCCAUUUCGAGUUACUUUGUUUAGAUUGCCGGAGAAAACCCUUGGGUGGGCAAAAGGGGGAGCAGAAAAAUCCCUUUUUGUGUGAAACCACUGUUGUUCACAAAGGGGAGGGUUACCAUUUCUACCUCUUUGGCUAGGAUGCAUAAUGUUUGUUGCUUUUUUUGGCUGUGGGAAAGCUUUGGGAUCACAUAGUGCUUUUGAGCAUCAGAUUUAAAAUGGAAGUCCUUUGUCUAUCUUGAAGAAAUUGGAAUUUGAUUAUUGUCGAACCGGAAAGAAACAUGGAAACAAGAAGCUGAUCUCUCGCGCGGGCUUUGAUAGUCUCAUGUUAAAACGGGUGCUUUUGGAUCGGAACUUAAUGACAUUAUGAUGGGGCAAAAAUACAUUCAGGAUGUUACACCACUAGAAGCUUGGGAGGAAGAAAUCUGAUUAAAUUUGUAUACUGCUAAGUGCUAAAACAGUUGGAAUAUGCAUGAUGAUUUGUGGACAGACGAAGUCGACGGAAUGCGGGGUUGCAAAUAUUAAGGCCUACUUGUUUGUGGUGUAGUUGAAGAAGAACGUGUCAGUGUUGGUUGGUUGGCUGGCAUUGAGGCGAAGAUUGGGUUGAGACAAUUAUUGAAACUCAGACAGGUACUUUCAGUGCAUGUGGUUCAGUUUGGGACAUUGUUGGUUAGCAUAUGCUAAAUCUGUGAUUAGCUUAACCUCGAGUACUCAUUUUCUGUCUCGACUUAUAUUGUAAUUAUUUACAAGAAAGAGCAUAGAAACGUUCUAUUACCUUAAUUAAGGGUGUUCAUCGGUCUGUUAGGUAUGAUUUUGAAAGAUGUCAGUUUCAGUAUUUAGUUUUUAAAAAUGCCGUACCAAUAUCAUACCAAAUUCGGUA